UACGAAGGUCCCAAGCGUUAUCCGGAUUUAUUGGGUUUAAAGGGUGCGUAGGCGGAUUAUUAAGUCAGUGGUGAAAGCCUUCAGCUUAACUGAAGAACUGCCAUUGAUACUGAUGAUCUUGAGUAUGAUUGAGGUGGGCGGAAUGUGUCAUGUAGCGGUGAAAUGCUUAGAUAUGACACAGAACACCGAUUGCGAAGGCAGCUCACUAGGUCUGGAUUGACGCUCAGGGACGAAAGCGUGGGGAGCAAACAGG
rnacentral:rRNA from 1 species